rnacentral:rRNA from 1 species
GACGAACGCUGGCGGCGUGCCUAAUACAUGCAAGUAGAACGCUGAAGAGAGGAGCUUACUCUUCUUGGAUGAGUUGCGAACGGGUGAGUAACGCGUAGGUAACCUGCCUUGUAGCGGGGGAUAACUAUUGGAAACGAUAGCUAAUACCGCAUAACAAUGGCUGACACAUGUCAUUUAUUUGAAAGGGGCAAUUGCUCCACUACAAGAUGGACCUGCGUUGUAUUAGCUAGUAGGUGAGGUAAUGGCUCACCUAGGCGACGAUACAUAGCCGACCUGAGAGGGUGAUCGGCCACACUGGGACUGAGACACGGCCCAGACUCCUACGGGAGGCAGCAGUAGGGAAUCUUCGGCAAUGGGGGCAACCCUGACCGAGAAACGCCGCGUGAGGGAAGAAGGUUUUCGGAUCGUAAAGCUCUGUUGUAAGUCAAGAACGGGUGUGAGAGUGGAAAGUUCACACUGUGACGGUAGCUUAACAGAAAGGGACGGCUAACUACGUG